GGAUAAAAAGUAUAGAAAAGAAUUUUUUGUCUCUUUAAUAUUAGAUAUAGAUAGAUUAGCCGUCUUUGAGAAUGGCACCAGGACUGCCCUUGAACUGGGCCUAGGUCUGGAUUUCGGGCAACACGGAACCAGGAGGUACCCGCUCUACUUUGUCAUGCCCGUGAACUGUUCGAUGGAAUGCCACACCGAUACGACACUACCUUCAGGCUCUUUCUCACUCAGGUGCGUGUUUACCUCCAACUAGACCUUGUCUCUUGCUUGCAUAAUUUCGUCUGACUGAGCUUGUCAGCUUGAUGUGUACUCUUCUGUUGUUUUCUUAUAUACUGCUCAUCUUGGUCAGCAAUUAAUACUAGAACUCUGCCUACACAAUGCAGUAACCCUGAACUGAAUGUAUCACUCGUUAUGGCCUCAAUAUCACACGUCACAAGCUGAAUUUUAUCGCUGUGGAUCCAAAAUAUCUAUUUUUCUAUCUACAAAUGUAAAAAAACAUGUACAACAUAUGCAUCUCUUUUGAAUUGAAUCAGCCGGUUAGUAAGAAUACACUAUUUAGUCCCAGUAAGCUGCUUAACAUAGCCUUCUGGCAUUAGGCCACAACCUGACAUCAAAUCUUGAGUAUUGAUUGCUUGCUCCAUGAUGAAUUUGAUUCCAUGCAGAAGAUCUGAUCACCACAUUAUCUUGUUAAGACUACCAGAUCAUGCACUAGCAUAUUUGAUAGUUUGGGCAUUUGGAUAAGCACUCCUGCAUACCUAGCUCAUUUUAGUGAAGAAUGCCAUGUCACUGUGCUGCUUCGAAAGGUACGAUGGAUUUACGCACGCAAACAGCGAUGUCUUCUUUUUCUUGGCUGGAAAGAGGAACAUCCGCAGCGGUACUUUUGAUUUAGAGGGCGCAUUCCUCCAGGUGCUGCUAGCUUUUGGCCCAGAUAAGCUAGUGCUCUUGACAAUCUUUGCCAGAACCUUAUCAAGUUCUGUGUGGAGCCCUUCGACAUGAUCCAAACUAGCCUGCACUUCAUCAGCGACUUUGUUGUUCUCUUGCUUCAUGUUCAGGACCUCUCCCUGGAGUUUUGCAACUUGGUACCAAGUGAAUCUAGCUCCAUGCUCAGUGUCUUCAUCCAUUUCCUUGGCUCCUUCGAUUUCCUCCUGUAGGUUGCAUAGGGAAUCAAACCUACACUGGAGUUCACCUUUGAACAUCAUAUUCUGUUCUGACCAUACUUGCAGUUCAAUCUUGAGUUCUCUUAGCCUCUUUUUUGUUGCUUCCAUUUCUGAGUCUGCAGGGCAUUCAUUUGUACCAUCCUUGUUUGGCUUUAGCUUGUCAUUUGUUACCUUACUGAUCUCAGACUGUAGCUGAUCGUACUUGGUCUGAAAUCCUUGUAUUUGUUGGAAAGACAUGCUCAACUUCAUUAAGAGCGCUAGGUUCUCCUCCAUAAGUGCAUCGAUGUUUCUUCUGAACUUCUCUUCAAGUGGCGAUGCUUUCUCCAUCUCAACUACAUUCGUUGGUGUGAGAUCCUCCAGAAUAAUGCUUUCUUGAUUGGUAACAGCAUCGUGUGGUACAUCAGGUUCCAUGGAAGAACUGGUAUUCAGGAUAUUUUUGAGGCUAGAGUUAUUUUCCAUUCUUCUAGGAAUAGAGGAGACACUUUGUGCCCUUUGAUGAAGUUGCAGAAUACUUGGAGUCCUUCGAUGGCCCCUUACCGUUUUAUUCUUCUCACUUAGGGACAUGGUUGAAUUCAACUGAUGACCUCUUUGUGAUGCAUCUUUGUAAGUUAAAGAUUCAAAGAGCUCACAAAGUGACCGAAUCUCAGCAUCCUUCAUUUCGUUGGCACACUCUAGUUCGCUUAUCAUGGCUCGCAUCUCAUUCAAGCAUUCCUGGUUCUUUGUUUCCACUUCUGCAAGUCUUCGCUUUGCAUUCUUAUAGUUUCGGAGGAUGGAAGUGUACUCGUCUAAUAGUACCUUUUCCUUAUCUUGGAUUCCAGUCAUAAGCGAUUGCUGCAGAUUAAUCACGUCAUCCUCUUGAUCUCCAACAUUUGCCACUUCCCCACAAAUAGAAGUCGGAUUUUUAUUGACAUAUGAAGCUUCUGCUUCGUCCAUCUCCAUAUUCUGUUCUGGCCUGCUCUCAGACAUGUUGUUACACUGUGUUGAGUAAUAUAUCACAUUAUCCUCUUGUUUCACAUUUUCUCCUGGGCUGCUUGGGGAAAUGCGAUGCAGUUGUUCUAAUGGGCAACUCUCAAGGGAGUGUGCAAUAUAUGGUUGCACACUGCUUUCAUUGUUCCUAGUGACUUCAUCAACAUGUUCUGGCCCUCCAUUAUUAUUAUCAGCAGACAAAUUAUGGUCUGCAUUUUCUGUUGUUCCUACAUCCACUGAUGCAGAUAUACUAAACUUAUCUUCAAACUCACAACACCACAAAUCCUCUGUUUUAUCUACAUGAGAGUGCCUUUCUGCUUUAAUCUCAUAGUGGCAAGUAGAUGACUGACGAUCGUCACUGAAGAUACUUGGCUCUGAUGUGUCUGGACCAUUAGUAAAUCCAUCCACAUGUGGCUUCCUUGCAGUUUCGUCCAUCUCAGGAGUUUCUGAUGGGCUUGUUUUGCGAUGCACACUUGAUAGUUCAGUGUCAGUGGAUUGUGUUGCUUCAUCAUUCAGCAUGCACCUGGAAACUGCUUGCUGCUCAGUGAGAGGUGAUUGCAGCAGCAUAUGUGAAAUAUCACAGAAACUGUUUAUUGUUUCCUCGAAAUUUGUAUAGACUAUUCUUUCUUCUGCAUGAUAGGAUGUCAAAAGGUUAUGCACUCUAAUAAGCACCUCUUCUGCCUCCUUAAGCUUGCCAUCUAAUUCACCUGAGGCACAGGUUUGUUCUGCCUUCUCUUCCUCCAAUUUCUGCAAUGAUUUCUCCAGCUCAUUGUUUUCUAGACACAGUCUAUUUAUCUGUGCAGUUUGGGUUGGAAUCAUGAGUUCCAAAUCCACAACUUUGUUGACUAGUUCAUCAAUUUUGUCUGCAAUAUCUUCCACAGAAAGAUCAGAGCUCAUCUCAAAGUAUCCCCUGAUCUUACCUACCAGUUCUUGUAGUUCAGUUUUCUCCUGCUUCAUGGAGAACAAUUCAUCUUUCCUAGCACUGGCAUCAUUAUUAACAUUCUCAUCUGCAGAAUUUCCUGAAUAUGCUAGUGACUUACCAUAUGCUCUGAAGAAACUCUUCAGUUUAUGCCUAGAAACCUCAACUCUUUCGGACUCAAUCAUUUCUUGCCUGAAAAAUGACUUCUGUUGCUCCUGCAUUUUGGUAAUGGCACCUUCACAAGAUUUAAGAGCAGUGGCUGCCAUCAAAGCCUGGGCCUCAUGAUCCUCUAUCUCUGCACUUUCAUUGAACUCAUCCUGGAAGUAGCAAACUUCUUCCUGCAUUUCAUUAAUUUGCUUUUCAAGAUCCCAGUACUUUGCAAUUCUACUCUCAUAAGAGCUUUUGACGAAUUCUUUCUCAGUCUGCAGGACCAAUAUCUCUUUCUGCAGCCUGCUAAUCUCAGCCUGUGCAUUAUCCUUGCUGACUGGAGCUGCAGAUUUCUCGCCCGAACCCUUCGGUCUUGAUUUCUCACCAUGCUUCUUUUUCAUCAGUUCCUCCACCGUCGACUUGUGGAUUUUGCGACGCUCAACCGCGGUAAAAGCCUUCGGGAGGUUAUCAUUGUCCUCUUCUAACAAUGAAUACUGAAUCUGAUCUGGGAAGGCAGUUGCAAUGGUGUGGUUUGCUUUGUGUAACUCCCCUGACAUAUGGUCAUAGCGUUCAGCAAGGGCCCUGUAUGCCCGGUAUGCUUCUUCCACUGAACAGAUCACCUCCGGUCGUCGCUUGUAAUACAUCUCCGCCCUCUUAGCGAAAGAAUCAGCUUCCUCCUCGAGGAGGAAGAGGAUACACUUGACCCUAUCUUCCAUAUCUGCACGAGUGCACAUGCAUGGAAAUCUUAACACCCAAAAUACAGUAAUGUUGAACAAUGAAUAAAAAACAUGUAUAAUUGGUCUUGGCGGACUUGGAAUUCCCAACCUAGAAUUUAUGGGUUGGGCGUUGCAGAUUCGAUGGUUGUGGUUCCGAAAUAUACAAAAAUACAAUCUUCUGCAUAUUCGGGAGAAAAAAAAACCAAAUGUUCACGGUACAACUAAUCCUAUGUACAGAUUUUGUACCAUGCAUUUCUCAUAUAUUUGGGAUCUUUUGCAGGAAAUUAUCCGAUCUUGGAGAAAGGAAAGAAAAUAAAAGAAAUAGUCCAGAUAAAC
rnacentral:lncRNA from 1 species